rnacentral:rRNA from 1 species
AUGAACGCUGGCGGCGUGCCUAAUACAUGCCAGUCGAGCGAACAGACGAGGAGCUUGCUCCUCUGACGUUAGCGGCGGACGGGUGAGUAACACGUGGAUAACCUACCUAUAAGACUGGGAUAACUUCGGGAAACCGGAGCUAAUACCGGAUAAUAUAUUGAACCGCAUGGUUCAAUAGUGAAAGACGGUUUUGCUGUCACUUAUAGAUGGAUCCGCGCCGCAUUAGCUAGUUGGUAAGGUAACGGCUUACCAAGGCAACGAUGCGUAGCCGACCUGAGAGGGUGAUCGGCCACACUGGAACUGAGACACGGUCCAGACUCCUACGGGAGGCAGCAGUAGGGAAUCUUCCGCAAUGGGCGAAAGCUUGACGGAGCAACGCCGCGUGAGUGAUGAAGGUCUUCGGAUCGUAAAACUCUGUUAUUAGGGAAGAACAAAUGUGUAAGUAACUAUGCACGUCUUGACGGUACCUAAUCAGAAAGCCACGGCUAACUACGUG